AACGUGUCGCGAUGGAUGACUUGGCUUCCUAUUUCGUUGA
rnacentral:rRNA from 1 species